AUAUGGCGGCCUCGGGUCCAUCCCGGGGCCACGCCCGUGUGAGGGUCGGA
rnacentral:rRNA from 1 species